CUGAGUUCAUGCCCCUUACGGGUAGAUCUCCCACCCUUGAUAUCUAAACCUUUGUUGCUUUGGCGGGCCGCUUCGGGCUACCGGCUCCCGGCUGGUGAGUGCCCGCCAGACGAACCUUAAACUCUGAAUUACAGUGUCGUCGGAGUACUAUAAAAUAGUUA
rnacentral:misc_RNA from 1 species